GAUGAACGCUAGCGGCAGGCUUAAUACAUGCAAGUCGAGGGGCAGCAAGGGUAGCAAUACCUGUUGGCGACCGGCAAACGGGUGCGGAACACGUACAGAACCUUCCUUUAAGCGGGGGAUAGCGCGGAGAAAUCCGGAUUAAUACCCCACUAGUAAUGUUUAAUGGCAUCAUUAGAUAUUUAAAGUAAUUUAUUCACUUAGAGAUGGCUGUGCGGCUGAUUAGGUAGUUGGUGUGGG
rnacentral:rRNA from 1 species